rnacentral:lncRNA from 1 species
GCCGCCGCCACGGCCCGGCAGCCAGCGCCGCACAGCGACCCCCGAGGGCCGGCCACGGCACUGCGCCUGGCUCCACACCGCCGCGGCAGCUCCUCGCGGGGAACAAUAGACUCGGCUCGCCGGGCUUAGGGUUCAUCUGCAAUGUGCCGCACAUUUCACACACACACAAAGCCGGCGGAAAGGGGGGCGGCGCAGGGAAACGGCCACUACCGGUUGUUCCAGGGUUAGGGGUGGAGGCGAUGUUCGCGUCCCCUGCGCGGCUGUUGGAAGAGCCGCCUCGGAGUCUCCGCCCGCCCGCCCUACCGAACGGUGUGUCACUCGGAGGGAAAGGAAAAAAAUCUCCGAGCGGCAGCUCCUCACACUACGCAACGUACACGGAUCGGAAUAAUCAAUUUGUUCCCUUGUUUGAAACAUUUAGGUCUAAAGGAAUCAGCUUUUCUGAGCCUUAUGCUAGUAUUUUGGGGGCCCGAUUAGCACAUUUUCCAUCAAUUAACUUUAACAAACUAGAUCAAAUACAGUGUGAACUAUCUGUCCUAGUUCUAUAGAAAUAAAGUAAUGCUCUUAAUUCAGCUUGCUUCUGGUUGGUUUCACGCACCUAACAAUUAUUCUGUGAUGAGAGUUAUGCAAAUUAAGCUGGUAGAGGAGCUUACUGUCCAACUUGACAAUAAUAGUUAAUGUC